rnacentral:rRNA from 1 species
AUUGAACGCUGGCGGCAGGCCUAACACAUGCAAGUCGAACGAGUGGCGGACGGGUGAGUAAUGUCUGGGAAACUGCCUGAUGGAGGGGGAUAACUACUGGAAACGGUAGCUAAUAACGCAUACCAUCGGAUGUGCCCAGAUGGGAUUAGCUAGUAGGUGGGGUAAAGGCGCACCUAGGCGACGAUCCCUAGCUGGUCUGAGAGGAUGACCGGCCACACUGGAACUGAGACACGGUCUCGCCGCCGACGUGAGGAAGCAGUGGGGAAUAUUGCACAAUGGGCGCAAGCCUGAUGCAGCCACGCCGCGUGUAUGAAGAAGGCCUUCGGGUUUUAAAGUACUUUCAGCGGGGAGGCGUUACUCGCAGAAGAAGCACCGGCUAACUCCGUGCCAGCAGCCGCGGUAAUUC